GUGCUCGAUAAAACUCUCAACUCUGCAAGAAAAGGAGGGAAAAAAAAAAAUACAAACAUAAUUAGCAUGAAACAAGGAUUCAAUUGUAUAAUAAUGUUGGAGUAUAAUUGAAAAUUAUCCAAAUGUCAUGAUAAUAGGUAACAGAGAUGCAGUGCAUGGAGAUUUACUUAAAAGAGAUAUAUAUUAUCUGGGUGUCCUUCUUGAUGAAGAUGGGCAUAUAGCAACAAAGUAAUUAGGGAGGAUCAAGCCAUGAGCACAUUAAAUAGAAAAAGUAUAAAAUAUUCAUAAAAUUAUUAUUAUUCUAAAAUGCGACAGAACGAGAUUGAAACAGUUGAAGAUAUAUAAUAGUAUUAAUUAACUAAAAGGAAAAAAAAAUUAGGGUAAUGACAGCUGAAGCCAAUCAUUUAGAGAAAAAACAAUGAGAUGAGAUUGUCUUAUUUUUUUUUUAUAAUUAUAUAAAAGAAAUCAUAAAUGAGGAACUGUUUUGGGUUUUGGACAGUGGAAAGAAUUUGAAACAAAGAGGGAAAAAAGAAACGACUGCAACUGAUUUUUGGGAACCGUGUUCAACAACUGUCAAUGAACAGUAGUUAAUUAAAAACUGGAUUAAGGAUCAAUCAGUAAAAAACCAAGGAUCAUUAAGAAAAAGAGUAGGGUUAUGAUGAGAUCUAUUGUAAAUUAAUAUUGUUGGUGAAGAUGUGAUGGAUGAAGAACAAACCUUGAGAAAACGCGGCCGCAAUCG
rnacentral:misc_RNA from 1 species